ensembl:snRNA U6 U6 spliceosomal RNA
GUGUUUGCUUCUGUAGCACAUACACUAAAAAACUGGAAUGAUACAGGGAAGAUAAGCAUGGUCCCUGUGCAAGGAAGACAUAUAAAUUUGUGAAGUGUUCCAUAUUUUU